CCUGGGCUGUCCAGUAUGUCACCUGCUGUUCCUGCUGAGUCCCUCCUGUGUGACCCAGGACAAGCCACCGAGUUCCUCUGAGCCUCUGUAAGAGCGAUUAAUGAAGAAGACACGCAUUGCCCUCCUGGCCCCGGGCCUGGCACCAGCAUCUUGACAGGUUUCCAGGGCCAAUUCUGGAGGGAAGAGGGCUGGGCCACCUCUGAAAUGUCCAACAGCAGCCGGAGGCUGGGAAGGGUGUGCAUAUAUAGGAGAGGUGUGUGUCACGGACCCUGGCUGGGGGCAGAAGGGGAGGGAGACAUCCCCGUGGGACUGAGCCGUGUGAAGGAGAAGUGAAGACAGCACACCCAGCUGGAGGAGCGGGAAGAAGUGAGGGCCUCUCCCUGUCCAUUUUCUCACAACUCCUCCCAUCUCAGCUCUGGGGCUCAGGCCCCCAUCCUCUCCUCCAACAGCGCCUCCUCGUCCCGAGUGCCAGUCAGGCAGCUGAGACCCAGCUUCCCCAGAGAACUUGCUUCUCCUAAAGUCCUCCCCAGUGGGGGCUGUUCAUCCUCCUACAUCCCUGACCCUGGGCGCCACGAGAAGGUCCGAUUCUCCUGGCCUCCAAACUUCUCCUUCCACAGCAGCCAUGUAGCCACCUCCCUGGACAGUCCCCCCUUCUCCCAGCCACAUCCCUGACCUCCACAGGCCCAUGGAUCACCAUGUGCAUCACAGGAGAAGGGCAUGUGGGCCUGACCUGGUCUUCUCUGCACCACUCAGCUUCCUUGUGGAUGGCCUUCCGAGCCCCUGGCCCCUUGCUGCCUGUUCAACUCAUCUCCAGUGUGACCUUCUCCUUCAUUCCUGUCCCCCCACAUAUGAGUCAUGGCCACACCUGGGACCUUGGUGUCAGGUCUGAGGCCUCUGAUGCCGACGCUUCAGCCACAGCUCCCCAUCUCCGUUGCCCCCUCCCCACCUGUCCUUGGCCCUCAUGGCGCUGCCAGUGUAGACAAAUGGAGAUGGUGUGGUGUGAGCAGCUUAAGCCUCAUGGUCCAUCACUUCAGCCACGCUCUUGUCGAUACUUUGUGCUAGAUAGAAUAAUGUCCCCAGAGAUGCC
rnacentral:lncRNA from 1 species